rnacentral:rRNA from 1 species
GAUGAACGCUGGCGGCGUGCCUAAUACAUGCAAGUCGAGCGAACAGACGAGGAGCUUGCUCCUCUGACGUUAGCGGCGGACGGGUGAGUAACACGUGGAUAACCUACCUAUAAGACUGGGAUAACUUCGGGAAACCGGAGCUAAUACCGGAUAAUAUAUUGAACCGCAUGGUUCAAUAGUGAAAGACGGUUUUGCUGUCACUUAUAGAUGGAUCCGCGCCGCAUUAGCUAGUUGGUAAGGUAACGGCUUACCAAGGCGACGAUGCGUAGCCGACCUGAGAGGGUGACCGGCCACACUGGAACUGAGACACGGUCCAGACUCCUACGGGAGGCAGCAGUAGGGAAUCUUACGCAAUGGGCGAAAGCCUGACGGAGCAACGCCGCGUGAGUGAUGAAGGUCUUCGGAUCGUAAAACUCUGUUAUUAGGGAAGAACAAAUGUGUAAGUAACUAUGCACGUCUUGACGGUACCUAAUCAGAAAGCCACGGCUAACUACGUG